rnacentral:lncRNA from 1 species
AGGUUAACAAUAAUAUAGUUCUAAUUCACCUUUAACGAGAAUCGAACCUAAGACCUAGCAUGGAUGGAAACUUUUAAAUAUUAUGCAAGUUGCACAUUGAAAAUGAAGUAGUCAUGAAGAAAAGUUAUAUCAUUAUAAACUCUAAAUUUUACAAUUACAAGGUUUUUUCGUAACCAAUCCAUCACCUACCAUGUUAAUAAAAUAUUUUUCUGGGUCUCCCCUGCCUGGAAGUCAUGUACAAAGCUUAUUUCGUUAUCAUCCAUUACUGCAGCAAGCUGAUAGAAACAUGCAUUGAGGAGUGCAAUUUAGUCUCACUUUUAACGUUUAUUUGAUGUAAUGUACAUACUAUCCUUUAAUUUUACGUUUAUUUGAUGGAAUAAACUGAACAAUGAUGAAUUAAGACUAAAUGAGACUAAAAUGGUAGUUUCAUGGGGUAAAGUGAGACAAAACCAGUUUCAGGCAAUAAAAUAAGACUAAAUGGCGAUUUCAAGAGGCAAAUCAAUUAAUGAGAGUUUUAAAACAUCAAGAUGAAGUAGUCAUAAAGGAAAGUUAUAUCCCUUCUAAACCCUAUAUUUUACAAUUAGGAGUAAACUUUUCUUCAUAACUAAUCCAUCAUCUACCUGUUAAUAAAAUAUUUUUCUGGGUCGUCUUUGCCUAGAAGUCAUGUACGAAGCUUAUUUUGUUAUCAUCCAUAUUCAAUGGAGCAAGCUGAUAGAAACAUGCAUGAUUCAGUGCUUUGUUUGCUUUCCACUAAAGACUUGAAAAAUAGCUCCACUAAAAGAGCUUUUACCUGAAUUCUCCAAGAAGAAACUCGUUCUUGUAGUCAAACAAAGGCAAAGAGUGCAACUUCGAAGAACUUGUUUUUAGUCUUACGAGAAUCUCUUUCUUCCAUUUGAAAACACUAAUUUAUGUGUGUUUCUAUCUGCUUGCUGCAUUGAAUGGAUGACAACGAAAUAAGCUUUGUACAUGACUUCUAGGCGGGGACGACCCAGAAAAAUAUAUUAUCAACAGGUUUUUGGUAUAACUGACCUCUUGGAUACAACAAGAACAUAAGUUUAGUUCGAUCUCGAAAAUAUUACUGUCCUCUUUGUUGUAGGUCACAUCUGAAUAAUGUUGUCUUUGAAGAGGUUUUGAACCUCGCAGUUCAAUAGGAUAUAUAGUUCACGAAGUAUUAGUAAAAUCUUCUCUGUCAAUCAAAAGAUAAUGAAAAAAUAAUUUGAUCUAUUAUCGCAAAAUAAAAUCAUGAGCAGUAAUAUAAUUUUACAAACUAUUUUUUAUUUUUUUAUAUGACUCACAUGUUAUUAUAGCAUAUCACUAAUUAAAAAACUACAAAAUAAAAUUUUAAACAUCUACCAUGUUCUGUCUCAAACAUCUUUCUCAAACAUCUCUCUCAAACAUCUCUCUCUUCCACAUAGUUUUUUUUUUUUUUUUUUUUUUUUUAAUUUUUACACACACAUAGCAUUGGCUUU